rnacentral:lncRNA from 1 species
ACAUGCCACACAAAGUGAAAUAAAGAAAGUAUUAUUCAUUAAAAGGUUAAAUGUGUGAGUAAUUUCAUAAGUCUAUAUGUUGGAAAAAUAAAACGUAAAUCGAAGUUUCGAAAUCUUUGUUCUUAGUUACAUCACUCUGUAUGGUUGGAAAUAUACUCUAAGAGUCAAUUGCAAGGUAUAUGAUAGAGACAUUUUUCUAAUUAACAAUCAUGAUAUUAUAAAUUGGAAUAAGCUUUCAAGCCAAUUACAAAAGAGAUAUGAUUGGAUAUAUUUUGUAAACAAUCCUAUUUGUAGUUUAACAAAUCAAUAAAGGCAUCCUUCAUCCCAUAAUGUGACAUGUCUUUCUAUACUUCUUUAUUGGAUCAACCAACUGGAUCAUGGCAGAGGCGGCCCAAAAGGUCCUGGAGGCCCGUAAAAGCCCAUUGGGCCCUUAAAACAGUCUUGUAAUAGCCAGCAACAGCAGAAGAAGCUCAGGCUGUACAAAUUUAAACAUUUCAAAACAUUAAGUUAAGUUCAAUAACAAUAAGCUUAAGCAUCAAUAAUUUGAUGGUGAAUAAUAUUUAAAUAUUCAAGAAACACAAGCUUAUAGAAGAAUAGCCAAAUAAAAACAAAGCAAAACCAAAUUGUUUUCUAGUCCAAAGAUUUUAUUUUUAUUUUUUCUCCUCAAAGAUUCAAAAACAAUUCGAAACACAUCAAAAUUUUUGAAAUAUAGAAGAAAACUAUUGGUUCCAAAUGACUUACCAAGAACCUAUAAAAUCACAUAAACCACCAAAGAAGCCACAAGGUCCUGGCAUUGGGGGUCCUCCGAGACCUAGAGGAGGACCCCAUCCGGGUCCUGGUCCUAGCCCCGGUCCUCCUGGUCUCAUAAUUUCACUUAGGCUAGAUUAACCAAACCUAACCAAAUCCCUUAUACUAACAAUCACAAUGUUGGAACAGCUUUAGUUUACUUUCAAUCUUGAGCUGGAAC